GGGUUGUGAGGUUAAGCGACUAAGCGUACACGGUGGAUGCCCUGGCAGUCAGAGGCGAUGAAGGACGUGCUAAUCUGCGAUAAGCGUCGGUAAGGUGAUAUGAACCGUUAUAACCGGCGAUUUCCGAAUGGGGAAACCCAGUGUGAUUCGUUACACUAUCAUUAACUGAAUCCAUAGGUUAAUGAGGCGAACCGGGGGAACUGAAACAUCUAAGUACCCCGAGGAAAAGAAAUCAACCGAGAUUCCCCCAGUAGCGGCGAGCGAACGGGGAGCAGCCCAGAGCCUGAAUCAGUGUGUGUGUUAGUGGAAGCGUCUGGAAAGGCGUGCGAUACAGGGUGACAGCCCCGUACACAAAAAUGCACAUAUUGUGAGCUCGAUGAGUAGGGCGGGACACGUGGUAUCCUGUCUGAAUAUGGGGGGACCAUCCUCCAAGGCUAAAUACUCCUGACUGACCGAUAGUGAACCAGUACCGUGAGGGAAAGGCGAAAAGAACCCCGGCGAGGGGAGUGAAAAAGAACCUGAAACCGUGUACGUACAAGCAGUGGGAGCACGCUUAGGCGUGUGACUGCGUACCUUUUGUAUAAUGGGUCAGCGACUUAUAUUCUGUAGCAAGGUUAACCGAAUAGGGGAGCCGAAGGGAAACCGAGUCUUAACUGGGCGUUAAGUUGCAGGGUAUAGACCCGAAACCCGGUGAUCUAGCCAUGGGCAGGUUGAAGGUUGGGUAACACUAACUGGAGGACCGAACCGACUAAUGUUGAAAAAUUAGCGGAUGACUUGUGGCUGGGGGUGAAAGGCCAAUCAAACCGGGAGAUAGCUGGUUCUCCCCGAAAGCUAUUUAGGUAGCGCCUCGUGAAUUCAUCUCCGGGGGUAGAGCACUGUUUCGGCAAGGGGGUCAUCCCGACUUACCAACCCGAUGCAAACUGCGAAUACCGGAGAAUGUUAUCACGGGAGACACACGGCGGGUGCUAACGUCCGUCGUGAAGAGGGAAACAACCCAGACCGCCAGCUAAGGUCCCAAAGUCAUGGUUAAGUGGGAAACGAUGUGGGAAGGCCCAGACAGCCAGGAUGUUGGCUUAGAAGCAGCCAUCAUUUAAAGAAAGCGUAAUAGCUCACUGGUCGAGUCGGCCUGCGCGGAAGAUGUAACGGGGCUAAACCAUGCAC
rnacentral:rRNA from 1 species